UACAGAGGGUGCGAGCGUUAAUCGGAAUUACUGGGCGUAAAGCGUGCGUAGACGGUCAUGUAAGUCGGGUGUGAAAGCCCCGGGCUCAACCUGGGAAUUGCAUUCGAGACUGCGUAGCUAGGGUGCGGAAGAGGGAAGCGGAAUUUCCGGUGUAGCGGUGAAAUGCGUAGAUAUCGGAAGGAACACCAGUGGCGAAAGCGGCUUCCUGGUCCAGCACCGACGUUCAGGCACGAAAGCGUGGGGAGCAAACAGG
rnacentral:rRNA from 1 species